AUUGAACGCUGGCGGCAUGCCUUACACAUGCAAGUCGAACGGCAGCACGGGUGCUUGCCCCUGGUGGCGAGUGGCGAACGGGUGAGUAAUACAUCGGAACAUGUCCUGUAGUGGGGGAUAGCCCGGCGAAAGCCGGAUUAAUACCGCAUACGAUCUACGGAUGAAAGCGGGGGACCUUCGGGCCUCGCGCUAUAGGGUUGGCCGAUGGCUGAUUAGCUAGUUGGUGGGGUAAAGGCCUACCAAGGCGACGAUCAGUAGCUGGUCUGAGAGGACGACCAGCCACACUGGGACUGAGACACGGCCCAGACUCCUACGGGAGGCAGCAGUGGGGAAUUUUGGACAAUGGGCGAAAGCCUGAUCCAGCAAUGCCGCGUGUGUGAAGAAGGCCUUCGGGUUGUAAAGCACUUUUGUCCGGAAAGAAAUCCUUGGCCCUAAUACGGUCGGGGGAUGACGGUACCGGAAGAAUAAACACCGGCGAACUACGU
rnacentral:rRNA from 1 species